CCUACGGGUGGCAGCAGUAGGGAAUUUUGCGCAAUGGGCGAAAGCCUGACGCAGCAACGCCGCGUGAUUGAUUAAGCCCUUCGGGGUGUAAAGAUCUGUCUGUGGGGACGAAAAUUGACGGUACCCACAGAGGAAGCAACUGCUAACUACGUGCCCGCAGCCGGGGUAAUACGGAGGGUGCAAGCGUUGUCCGGAAUCAUUGGGCGUAAAGUGUUCGUAGGUGGCAUAUGAAGUCUGGUGGUAAAUGCAGAAGGUCAAUCUCUGUUCGGCACUGGAUACUGGUAAGCUUGAGUGCGGUAGGGGUAAGGGGAAUUCCUGGUGUAGCGGUGAAAUGCGUAGAUAUCAGGAGGAACACCGGUGGCGUAAGCGCAUUACUGGGCCGUAAUUGACGCUGAGGAACGAAAGCGGGGGUAGCAAAUAGGAUUAGAUACCCUUGUAGUC
rnacentral:rRNA from 1 species